CGUCUCUCUCUCUCUCCCAUGAUCUCACGUCUCUCUUCCUCCCUCACAUCUCUCUCCCCCCCCACAUGGAAAACAAAUCUGUUCUCUCAUGAUCUCACGUCUCUCUUCUUCCCCAUAUGAAAACAGAUACGUGUUUCUCACAAAUAGGAGCAAAUAAGUUGGGGCAUGAAUCCUACUCAUGGAUCGUACCACAUUAAAUUUUGUUCCUCAGCUUUGUUUUGAUUUUUUAUCGGAUUAUAAUUGAAUUGACCGUAUUUUUUUGGUGGAUUCAGACUCAAUAUUUUUCUAUCACGCCCUUUAAAAGAGCUAUACCUAGGGAUCCAAUUCCAAAUCCUCUCACGCUCUUUGGAUAGCUCAUGGAGAUCAGCUCGGAGCACAGCUGGGCCCAUGAGGCUAGCUUAUAUAUUCAACCUGUGGCCUAACACAAACUAUCUCAACAUAAAGGAGCCUCUGUCGGUUGUCAAUUGAUCAAGCUUCUCAUGUCAGGUCACUCUUUUUACCUUCAAAAAUGAUGGCAUACGCUAUGCUCCAUGCGAUUACCAAUGGAAAGGAAUCCUGGAAAGUGAAGGUCGGAGUAAUUAGGCUAUGGGAUGCAUUAACCUCAUCAACAAUGAACUUAUUAGCCUUGGCAUGAUACUAAUUGACGAAAAUGUCAGCUCAUUGGUAAAAGAAUAUGGGGUUCCAACAUAAAUAGGCCACUAUGAGUUAUAUAUCGAUGCAUCUCCUCACUAUUAACAAGUUUAGGCCACUGGUCCAAGAAUGAUGAUCACAAGAUGGCUUUGAUGUUAUAAUAUAAUUAGUUUACUGCAGUCUUGGCAAAUUGAUUUUUGUUGAUACAUAUGGUGGAACAGGAAAGAAGUUUCUGUGGAAAGCAUUUAUGAAAAAAAUUAAGGUCCGAAGGGAAGAUACUUCUAGCAGUAACUUCAAGUGGUAUAGCAGCACCUCUUUUACAAGGUGGAAGCACAGCUCAUUCAAGAUUCCACAUUUCACUGAAGAUCACUAAUGAGUACACAUGCGGCAUCAAGCUAGGAACAUUUCUUGCGGAGCUAAUAACGAGAACUUCGUUGAUUACACACAAGCAUUGACAAGAGUUUGAGACAUACUUUGAUUCACAAAUGAGGAUGCCGAGCAGAGAACAUUUGGAGGAAUGACUAUAGUCUUGGUAGGUGACUUCAGACAAAUCCUACCGGCUAUACCAAUGGGGAAAAGGGAACAUAUUUGUUUCCGCAUAUAUAAAGAGAUCCUACCUAUUGAAGAACUUUCAGGAGUACCGACUCACAAAAAAUAUGUGUCUGAAUUCAGUUGAAGGUAGUCCAAUAAAGAAAGAAAAGACGACGAAAUUUCCAAGCUGGAUGCAAAACAUCAGCAAUGGUGCAGCAACAACAACAAAUGAAGAAGAUUGGAUUAGCAUCCCCAGAAGACCUUAUUUUACAUGAAGGAGAUAACCCCAUAACAUCCAUUGUUAAUAGCAUCUAAUUCCCUGACUUACAAAGCUGGUACACUCAUAGAACAUACCUAGAAGAAAGAGCGAUCAUGUUCCCAAGAAACGAGAUUGUCGACGAGAUUAACACCCAUAUCAUGAGUCAACUUCCUGGAGAAGAGAGGCUGAAGUUGGAUCUUCCAGUAAUGCUUAUGAUAAAAAUCAACCAAAGUGCGGGACUUUGCAAUGGGACAAGACUAACAAUAACACAGUUAGGAAGGCAGUUCAUUGAAGGCCAGGUAAUAAACGACCUAACAUUGCUGAGAGAAUACCCAAUAUCAGUGUGAUUUUGCUAUGACUAUGAACAGAAGCAAGGGGCAAUCUCUCAAAAAGGUUGGGCUGUACUUAUAAAAAUGUUCACACAUGGCCAACUAUAUGUUGCAUAUACUCACAGCGGUUGAAGAGCGUCCAUUCGGCAGCGUGGCAAAAAACAUUAUUUACAAGAAUGUAUUAUAGAUAUUUGAUUUGUUGCCGCUAUGAUUAGAACAAGCAGAAUCAUUCUUAUUUGUCUAAAUAUAAUGCGGACAUAGCUGCCUUUUCUGUUUAAAACUAUUGUCUCUGCAAUAUUAUAUUUGUGAACAAGGUACUUCU